AUACUUACCUGACAAAGGAGAUACCAUGAUCACAAAAGUAGUUUCUUUAGGGCAAGGCUUAUCCAUUGCACUCCAGCUGUGCUAACCCUUGCAAUUUCCCCAAAUAUGGGAAAUUCGACUGCAUAAUUUGUGGUAGUGGGGGACUGUGUUUGCACUCUCCCCUG